rnacentral:misc_RNA from 1 species
CUAGGUUGAUAAGCCUCCUCAAAGCUUAUCAGUGAUUCUGGGUCUGUGCAAGAGAAUGGUGAAGAAACAGACUUUUCUUCAAAGGUUCCACUAGACAAAUCCUGUUGAACUGAGGUAUCUUGGAUAUAACAGGAAGAAUCUUCCUCUCUUGUUGACAAGAUGGAUUUUCUUGAUUCUAAUUGAUGCCCUGGCAGAUCCUCUUCCCAUCCUU